rnacentral:rRNA from 1 species
AUGCCUGUUAGAACUGUUGUGCCAUUCCCAUGGUAUAUACUCAUUCAUGUCUCCAGCAAGUAUGACAAAGGAAGAAACCAAAGCAGUGGCCACAGGAACACAGAGACUUUUUGUAUUGGUGUUGACAGAGUUAAUAUUGGAGCUCAUCAUAACAAGUCUCUUCAAAGAACACACAGGAGGAUUCCUUCUUUCUUGCAGGCACUAAAGAGAGGAAUGGUUUCCCAUUCAUAUUUAAAUGAUGUUGACAUACCAGCUGACCAAAUGCGGAUAUUGGAAUCAUCAUUCCUCCUGACGGCUUGCGAUGAGGGAAGAAUUAUCACAGAGGACAAGUUAACACGCUGUUUGCAGCAAAUGCAGAUUGAAUGUCCUGGAAAGGUCAUAGUCAAGCAAGUUGGCAGGUCCAAAUACCUUAUAUAUUUCCAAGGGCCAGUAACCACAACUUUGUUUCACACGUUGUCUGCUGAUGCUGCUGGAAUCCAGCUACCUCUUGGUAAGUUCUUAGUUCAGAAAUGGUCGACGUCUGUUGGAGGUGUAUCUUCUACCCUCUCUCGAAAAGAACAGAUAAGGAUUACAGGACUGCCAACUGAAUUUUACAGCCCGUCUAUAAUUGAAGACAUCCUGAGCCCCCAGUGCAUGUUAGAAAACAACAGCCAUCAGGUUGGUGAGUCUCCUGAUGUUUGGUUCUAUGACUGUGCCAUAUGGACAAAUGAAAACAAAAUUAUUUCAGAGGACAUCUAUUUGGGCUGCUCCAAAUGGAUUAACAGUGGAACAAUCAACUGUUAA